AGAGUUUGAUCCUGGCUCAGGAUGAACGCCGGCGGUGUGCCUAAUACAUGCAAGUCGUACGCACUGGCCCAACUGAUUGAUGGUGCUUGCACCUGAUUGACGAUGGAUCACCAGUGAGUGGCGGACGGGUGAGUAACACGUAGGUAACCUGCCCCGGAGCGGGGGAUAACAUUUGGAAACAGAUGCUAAUACCGCAUAACAACAAAAGCCACAUGGCUUUUGUUUGAAAGAUGGCUUUGGCUAUCACUCUGGGAUGGACCUGCGGUGCAUUAGCUAGUUGGUAAGGUAACGGCUUACCAAGGCGAUGAUGCAUAGCCGAGUUGAGAGACUGAUCGGCCACAAUGGAACUGAGACACGGUCCAUACUCCUACGGGAGGCAGCAGUAGGGAAUCUUCCACAAUGGGCGCAAGCCUGAUGGAGCAACACCGCGUGAGUGAAGAAGGGUUUCGGC
rnacentral:rRNA from 2 species